UCCUCCAGCCAAGCAGGGCUUUGAAAUGUUACAUCUCCAAGCGGAUCCAAGAAAAAGAGGCUCAGGGAGAAGAUUCCCGCAAGCCCCUCUCUGGGGAGGGACCCCCAAAGAGGACCAUUAAAAAGAGGUCCCCCCAGAUGGCACCUUUCAGCACCUGGCUCAGCUGUGUGAACUGAUCGAGUGCCAUGAAGGCUGAGUUCUUCCAGGAAAGAGCCUGGGGGAAAGGACUUUGGCUUUGACAAAGAGAUGCGGGUUCAAGCCCAGACUCCGCCCUGACCUGGCUCCAUCUCCUAAGGAAUUCCUGUUUUCCACUUUGCAUUCAGCUACGGGAAAUGCAGUGUACCCCAACCUGGUCCCUUCUUGUCGCCUCUGCACACAGGGCACCUGCAGCUACUCAAGCAAGUAAAUAAAAACCCCAAAGCAUGUGCAGCUUCUCAGACACACCCUGCCAUUUUGAGCCUAGGAGCUUUAUAAGUUCUGUUUCCUUCCUCCUCUAACAAACUCCUACUCAGCCCUCAAAACCCAGCUGAAGUAGCACCUUCUCAGCUGUGCCGAAUACCCCUGCAUAGUGUUCUGAUAGGGCACACUGCUUUCUUGCACCCCAAGUCCCAUCACACUGCCUUAAAAAAUCUACUACUAUCCUGACUUCUUCUCUAAACGAUGCUUCUUGAGGGUGGCUGGGUCCCAGUCACCUCGUAACCCCUGUGUGUAGUGCUGGGCAUGAUGGCGGGAAGAACCUGCUGCUGAAAGGAGAGAUGAAUGGUGGAAAGCACUUCUUCUCUAGGAGCGAAUAGGACUGCUGGCCUCAGAGGGACCAAGAGGGCCAUCAUUCUCAACCCAUGUCUGUCACCUCACACGCAGUGGGUGGCUCCCCUCUGCCAGCCUUCUCCACGUCCUGGCAGCGGACAGGAAUCGGGGCUGACCUGCCAGGCUGCGUAGCCAGGAAGCCGUUCAGACUGCGGGGCAGCAUCUCCCCCUCGGAGGAGAGCAGUGGGCGUUUUAGGAGUUGGGGGGGUGGCUGGACCCAUUCCCGGGCUGUCCCUGUACUGCUGUGGGCUGAGUGUGCUGUGGGCUGAGUGUGCUGGGUGGGGAGGGGGGUGUCAUGCUUUGCAGCGUGUUCACCCCUCUGUCCUCCCAGAAGCCAGGGCCCUCUCCCGCCUCCCUCUGGAAGCCCAGGAAGUGACCGUGGCCUGACCGGACGCCCCUGCCGGGCUCUCACCAUGAACCCCGACGGCCAUGGCAGCGGCUGCUCGGGGGACUGUUUCAAACGAUUCCCUGCAAACUUUCGCAAGAUACAAAAGAGGCUGGAAACUCACAGGAUAAACCAAAGUGGAAACAAAACUGUGUCGCUGAGGCCGGCCCAUGGGAACUGAAACCACAGGGCAGAGUGCUCUGAGCUCUCCAGACACAAACAGCUAAGCCCCCGCGUGAGUCACUGGUGUGGCCACAAGGAUGCUCGAGAGGGAAGGCCUGACUGGACAGAAGCCAACGCAGUGUCCUGGGGACCCUCUGUGCGUUCUGCUCCCUGGAGAUUUCAUUUCACGUGCGUUGCAGCAAAGAGAACACUCGUAGGACAUGGAGGACAUCCCUCAGGCUCUGGUCACCGACGAUACAAACACCCGAUGGGGUUUCAUCAUAACCCAGUCUAGGAACUACCUGUUUUCUCCAAAUCCUCGUGAGAACACAGAACCCAGGGUGCUCAAGCAACCCAGACCACCCUGAGCUGGAAUUUGCAUUCUUUCCUUCUGCCGCAUUCUCCAGCUGUCGGUCCCACCGGAAGCCCAGGCUGGUUCCGUGGGCGGGAGGGUUUCCUGCUCUCUCGGUCUCCACACUGCUUUGAUCAUGCGCCACGAGCAGUGCAGUGAAAACUGGAGCAUUCCCUCCCAACAGCUGUAGCCGUCUUUAUCUACAAAUGAGGUACAUACCCCUAGAGGUGAUAUUAGGAAACACUGCAAGAAAUGGAAUUGAAAUGGGAUGAGCUCAAAGACAGAAGCUGCAAUGCUUGCUUCCUGUACCCUGGUGCAGGGUCAAGGGUAGCCAGAUUAAAAAACACAGGAUGCCCAGCUAAGUGUGUGACACAGUUUGGCUAAAAUAAAACAAAAUAAAACAAAAUGAUUGUUUCUCUGAAAUUCAAA